UCGCCCUUAGUUGCCAUCAUUCAGUUGGGCACUCUAAGGGGACUGCCGGUGAUAAGCCGAGAGGAAGUGGGGAUGACGUCAAGUCCUCAUGGCCCUUACGGGCUGGGCUACACACGUGCUACAAUGGUGGUGACAGUGGGCAGCGAGACCGCGAGGUCGAGCUAAUCUCCAAAAGCCAUCUCAGUUCGGAUUGCACUCUGCAACUCGAGUGCAUGAAGUUGGAAUCGCUAGUAAUCGCGGAUCAGCAUGCCGCGGUGAAUACGUUCCCGGGCCUU
rnacentral:rRNA from 1 species